ACCGCCGACCGCGCCGGGAGGCUGGGCGGGGGCGGGGCCUGCUCUUAAAGGGGCCGCGGCCCGCAUUGCCUCCUCCGACAUCCGAGGCCAGGGCGCGCAGGUCAGCGGUCUCAUCCUAGGGUUUCCCACACUCCCCGCGCCUUGAUGGCUGAUCGAAGCUGGUCCUGGGGUGUGAGCCCUUGCGGGGAUUUUCGGUUACAGGAGUGACGCAAAGGACUUUUCUUACAAGCAGAGGACCCAGGAAUUUCAGCCCUGCACCAAUGGAGUCUUUGCCCAAGUCACAGGUGAAAAUCAGCGUAGCUCCAGGUGACAGAAUCCCUUCUGGAUUAGGAGCUUUGGCUCCCAAAAGCCACUAUAAAUGGAAACAUGAAUAUAUUACCUGGCAUGAAAGGACCAGACUAACUGGGAAAGCUUCCUCCUCUACCUGUUCCCUGUAAGAAUAUUAGUACAGGUGAUAGGCAGGUUAAAUGUCUCGGUGUUACUAACCACAGGGAACUGUAGAGCAACAGAGAUAAGAGAGCUCGGUGAUGAUAGCAGAUUCCAAACAGCUCCACACUUGAAUAGGGAACCUAGAGGGCAAAUCAGACAGCAAGGGGACACAGAGCUGCCCAGGUCAGCAAGAGAUGAGCAAGAAGACUACAGCAAACAAGCAAAAGGGAAGCAAACCAUGUCUCCUGGUUCUUCCACAUGCGAGAUCACUCUGAGGUCAACUGAAAUUUGCCAUCAAAAAUAUACCAGAUGCCCUCAUGUUGUUGGAAUCAAAUCAUUUCUCAAAGGCAAAUUUUUAUAGAGCGCUUUUUUAUCAUGUUGAUAAUUUUGAUUUAUUUUCUACGUGUACAUUUUCAAAUAAGUUCUAAAUGAUCUCCCAUUCUUCCCAGCUACACAACCAAAUUAUAGCAAGGCAGUUACUAAAUACAUAGCACAAAGUUUGAGAAGCUCUGACCUUUGGCUUAAUUUUAUCCAACUUAAUAUUUGGGUUACUGCAUUCAUAGGCCAAAAACUAGCCAGCAUUAUAAUGGAAUUCUCUGGAGAGCACAUUCAAUAGUGAAGCCCGGAAGUAACAGUUCUCACUCUUAGCCCAGCAUUGGAAUCAACUCCCACAUCACACCCCAAACCAAUUUCAUAUUAGAGGUAGGGCUUAGGCCUUGAUGUAUUGUUUUGAAGAUCCUCUAAAUACUUCCAUGUACAGCCAAGGCUGAGAAUCUUCCUGCCUUAGAAUGAACAGACAGGAAGCUGCUAGUGUCUUCUUCCAUCAAGAUUCUUCCAUUAUCAGUUUCUCCCAAGGAGCCAGCGUCAGGAAACCAGGAUGUCCAGCUUGGACCUCACUUUCAAAGGUGUCCAUGUCGACUUUCCCGCCUCAUUCACCAGCUCUACAGUGACAUAAAGGGUUGUGAACAGGACUUCAUCGUGUUUCAUCGCCAUGCUCCAGGGAUCCCACACGGUCUUCAAAAGCAAACAAGUACUUUAAAAAAGAAAUCCUCCAAGCUUCUCUGUCUUUUCCCUCUCCUCUGUACCCAUCUUUCUCCUCCCCCUUCUCUUCCUACCCCGGCUGUCUCCUUUGCCUGCUCUGGAGGCUCAUGACUGUCCUUCUGUGUCCUUCCUCUCACUCCUGGUUCAUCCUCCACUGCUAUCUGGGCCUCCCUCUUCUUUCUGUAUCUGUCUCGGUUUCUUUUACUGUCUAUUCUCUUCCCACAGCACACAACUUUCUUCUUUCCCUUACAGCUCCUUAAUUAACACAGAAAAAAGGCCUUGGCAGAUAUUUAUAAUUAUUAAGCUAUUUUGUUAAUUUUAAAACAGAUAAGUACUGAAAAUAUAUUUCACUCAUCAAAGAGAUAAAAAAUGCUCAUAAAAUACAAA